rnacentral:rRNA from 1 species
AUUGAACGCUGGCGGCAGGCCUAACACAUGCAAGUCGAGCGAGCGGCGGACGGGUGAGUAAUGUAUGGGGACUGUCCGUUAGAGGGGGAUAACUACUGGAAACGGUAGCUAAUACCGCAUACUAUCGGAUAACCCAUAUGGGAUUAGCUAGUAGGUGAGGUAAUGGCUCACCUAGGCGACGAUCCCUAGCUGGUCUGAGAGGAUGAUCAGCCACACUGGGACUGAGACACGGCCCAGACUCCUACGGAGGCAGCAGUGGGGAAUAUUGGACAAUGGGCGCAAGCCUGAUGCAGCAAUGCCGCGUGUAUGAAGAAGGCCCUAGGGUUGUAAAGUACUUUCGGUAGGGAGGCGUUACCGACAGAAGAAGCCCCGGCUAACUCCGUGCCAGCAGCCGCGGUAAUAC